rnacentral:rRNA from 1 species
UGAGCCAAGUUUAGGGUUUCUUAAAAACCCAAAGAUGUUUGAACUGAAGAGUUUGAUCAUGGCUCAGAUUGAACGCUGGCGGCAGGCCUAACACAUGCAAGUCGAGCGGUAGAGAGAAGCUUGCUUCUCUUGAGAGCGGCGGACGGG